rnacentral:rRNA from 1 species
GAUGAACGCUGGCGGCGUGCCUAAUACAUGCAAGUCGAGCGAACAGACGAGGAGCUUGCUCCUCUGACGUUAGCGGCGGACGGGUGAGUAACACGUGGAUAACCUACCUAUAAGACUGGGAUAACUUCGGGAAACCGGAGCUAAUACCGGAUAAUAUAUUGAACCGCAUGGUUCAAUAGUGAAAGACGGUUUUGCUGUCACUUAUAGAUGGAUCCGCGCCGCAUUAGCUAGUUGGUAAGGUAACGGCUUACCAAGGCAACGAUGCGUAGCCGACCUGAGAGGGUGAUCGGCCACACUGGAACUGAGACACGGUCCAGACGCCUACGGGAGGCAGCAGUAGGGAAUCUUCCGCAAUGGGCGAAAGCCUGACGGAGCAACGCCGCGUGAGUGAUGAAGGUCUUCGGAUCGUAAAACUCUGUUAUGAGGGAAGAACAAAUGUGUAAGUAACUAUGCACGUCUUGACGGUACCGAAUCAAAAAGCCACGGCUAACUACGUG